CUGCGGCAGCGAACGUAUCACCCAAGACAACUUUACGGAGUUGACGAUUGACGGAGCGAAGCGACGUCAAAGCGUUCAUUAAAGUCGAGUUGGCUUAGGGAUACGUUCGUUGGGUAGGGGAGCGUUCUGUAAGCCUGUGAAGGUGUGUCGUGAGGCAUGCUGGAGGUAUCAGAAGUGCGAAUGCUGACAUAAGUAACGAUAAAGCGGGUGAAAAGCCCGCUCGCCGGAAGACCAAGGGUUCCUGUCCAACGUUAAUCGGGGCAGGGUGAGUCGACCCCUAAGGCGAGGCCGAAAGGCGUAGUCGAUGGGAAACGGGUUAAUAUUCCCGUACUUGGUGUUACUGCGAAGGGGGGACGGAGAAGGCUAUGUUGGCCGGGCGACGGUUGUCCCGGUUUAAGCGUGUAGGUGUGUGUUCCAGGUAAAUCCGGUUCACUUUAACACUGAGGCGUGACGACGAGGCACUACGGUGCUGAAGCAACAAAUGCCCUGCUUCCAGGAAAAGCCUCUAAGCAUCAGGUAACAUCAAAUCGUACCCCAAACCGACACAGGUGGUCAGGUAGAGAAUACCAAGGCGCUUGAGAGAACUCGGGUGAAGGAACUAGGCAAAAUGGUGCCGUAACUUCGGGAGAAGGCACGCUGACACGUAGGUGAAGUGAUUUACUCAUGGAGCUGAAGUCAGUCGAAGAUACCAGCUGGCUGCAACUGUUUAUUAAAAACACAGCACUGUGCAAACACGAAAGUGGACGUAUACGGUGUGACGCCUGCCCGGUGCCGGAAGGUUAAUUGAUGGGGUCAGCGCAAGCGAAGCUCCUGAUCGAAGCCCCGGUAAACGGCGGCCGUAACUAUAACGGUCCUAAGGUAGCGAAAUUCCUUGUCGGGUAAGUUCCGACCUGCACGAAUGGCGUAAUGAUGGCCAGGCUGUCUCCACCCGAGACUCAGUGAAAUUGAACUCGCUGUGAAGAUGCAGUGUACCCGCGGCAAGACGGAAAGACCCCGUGAACCUUUACUAUAGCUUGACACUGAACAUUGAGCCUUGAUGUGUAGGAUAGGUGGGAGGCUUUGAAGUGUGGACGCCAGUCUGCAUGGAGCCGACCUUGAAAUACCACCCUUUAAUGUUUGAUGUUCUAACGUGGACCCGUAAUCCGGGUUGCGGACAGUGUCUGGUGGGUAGUUUGACUGGGGCGGUCUCCUCCUAAAGAGUAACGGAGGAGCACGAAGGUUGGCUAAUCCUGGUCGGACAUCAGGAGGUUAGUGCAAUGGCAUAAGCCAGCUUGACUGCGAGCGUGACGGCGCGAGCAGGUGCGAAAGCAGGUCAUAGUGAUCCGGUGGUUCUGAAUGGAAGGGCCAUCGCUCAACGGAUAAAAGGUACUCCGGGGAUAACAGGCUGAUACCGCCCAAGAGUUCAUAUCGACGGCGGUGUUUGGCACCUCGAUGUCGGCUCAUCACAUCCUGGGGCUGAAGUAGGUCCCAAGGGUAUGGCUGUUCGCCAUUUAAAGUGGUACGCGAGCUGGGUUUAGAACGUCGUGAGACAGUUCGGUCCCUAUCUGCCGUGGGCGCUGGAGAACUGAGGGGGGCUGCUCCUAGUACGAGAGGACCGGAGUGGACGCAUCACUGGUGUUCGGGUUGUCAUGCCAAUGGCACUGCCCGGUAGCUAAAUGCGGAAGAGAUAAGUGCUGAAAGCAUCUAAGCACGAAACUUGCCCCGAGAUGAGUUCUCCCUGAGACUUAGAGUCUCCUGAAGGAACGUUGAAGACGACGACGUUGAUAGGCCGGGUGUGUAAGCGCAGCGAUGCGUUGAGCUAACCGGUACUAAUGAACCGUGAGGCUUAACCUU
rnacentral:rRNA from 1 species